AUUGAACGCUGGCGGCAGGCCUAACACAUGCAAGUCGAACGAGUGGCGGACGGGUGAGUAAUGUCUGGGAAACUGCCCGAUGGAGGGGGAUAACUACUGGAAACGGUAGCUAAUACCGCAUACCAUCGGAUGUGCCCAGAUGGGAUUAGCUAGUUGGUGGGGUAACGGCUCACCAAGGCGACGCUCCCUAGCUGGUCUGAGAGGAUGACCAGCCAACAUGGAACUGAGACACGGUCCAGACUCCGACGGGGGGCAGCAGUGGGGAAGAUGGCACAAGGGGCGCAAGCCGGAUGCAGCCAUGCCGCGUGUAUGAAGAAGGCCUUCGGGUUGUAAAGUACUUUCAGCGAGGAGGCGUUACUCGCAGAAGAAGCAUCGGCUAACUCCGUGCGAGCAGCCGCGGUAAUAC
rnacentral:rRNA from 1 species